rnacentral:rRNA from 1 species
UACUUAGGGUGCAAGCGUUGUCCGGAUUUAUUGGGCGUAAAGAGCGUGUAGGCGGCUUUACAGGUCCGUUGUGAAAACUCGAGGCUCAACCUCGAGACGCCGGUGGAAACCGUAAGGCUAGAGUCCGGAAGAGGAGAGUGGAAUUCCUGGUGUAGCGGUGAAAUGCGCAGAUAUCAGGAGGAACACCCGUGGCGAAAGCGGCUCUCUGGGACGGUACUGACGCUGAGACGCGAAAGCGUGGGGAGCAAACAGG